rnacentral:rRNA from 1 species
AUGAACGCUAGCGACAGGCUUAACACAUGCAAGUCGAGGGGCACAUGAUUUGUAGCAAUACAGAUUGAUGGCGACCGGCGCACGGGUGAGUAACGCGUAUGCAACUUACCUAUCAGAGGGGGAUAGCCCGGCGAAAGUCGGAUUAAUACCCCAUAAAACAGGGGUCCCGCAUGGGAAUAUUUGUUAAAGAUUCAUCGCUGAUAGAUAGGCAUGCGUUCCAUUAGGCAGUUGGCGGGGUAACGGCCCACCAAACCGACGAUGGAUAGGGGUUCUGAGAGGAAGGUCCCCCACAUUGGUACUGAGACACGGACCAAACUCCUACGGGAGGCAGCAGUGAGGAAUAUUGGUCAAUGGCCGAGAGGCUGAACCAGCCAAGUCGCGUGAAGGAAGAAGGAUCUAUGGUUUGUAAACUUCUUUUAUAGGGGAAUAAAGUGGAGGACGUGUCCUUUUUUGUAUGUACCCUAUGAAUAAGCAUCGGCUAACUCCGUGCCAGCAGCCGCGGUAAUACGGAGGAUGCGAGCGUUAUCCGGAUUUAUUGGGUUUAAAGGGUGCGUAGGUGGUGAUUUAAGUCAGCGGUGAAAGUUUGUGGCUCAACCAUAAAAUUGCCGUUGAAACUGGGUUACUUGAGUGUGUUUGAGGUAGGCGGAAUGCGUGGUGUAGCGGUGAAAUGCAUAGAUAUCACGCAGAACUCCGAUUGCGAAGGCAGCUUACUAAACCAUAACUGACACUGAAGCACGAAAGCGUGGGGAUCAAACAGGAUUAGAUACCCUGGUAGUCCACGCAGUAAACGAUGAUUACUAGGAGUUUGCGAUACAAUGUAAGCUCUACAGCGAAAGCGUUAAGUAAUCCACCUGGGGAGUACGCCGGCAACGGUGAAACUCAAAGGAAUUGACGGGGGCCCGCACAAGCGGAGGAACAUGUGGUUUAAUUCGAUGAUACGCGAGGAACCUUACCCGGGCUCGAACGGCACCUGAAUCACCCAGAGAUGGGCGAGUCUUCGGACAGGUGUCGAGGUGCUGCAUGGUUGUCGUCAGCUCGUGCCGUGAGGUGUCGGCUUAAGUGCCAUAACGAGCGCAACCCUUAUCACUAGUUACUAACAGGUGAAGCUGAGGACUCUGGUGAGACUGCCAGCGUAAGCUGUGAGGAAGGUGGGGAUGACGUCAAAUCAGCACGGCCCUUACAUCCGGGGCGACACACGUGUUACAAUGGCAUGGACAAAGGGCAGCUACCUGGUGACAGGAUGCUAAUCUCCAAACCAUGUCUCAGUUCGGAUCGGAGUCUGCAACUCGACUCCGUGAAGCUGGAUUCGCUAGUAAUCGCGCAUCAGCCAUGGCGCGGUGAAUACGUUCCCGGGCCUUGUACACACCGCCCGUCAAGCCAUGGGAGCCGGGGGUACCUGAAGUCCGUAACCGCAAGGAUCGGCCUAGGGUAAAACUGGUGACUGGGGCU